CCUGCCCAGAAGCGGGGGAUAACACCUGGAAACAGAUGCUAAUACCGCAUAACAACUUGGACCGCAUGGUCCGAGCUUGAAAGAUGGCUUCGGCUAUCACUUUUGGAUGGUCCCGCGGCGUAUUAGCUAGAUGGUGGGGUAACGGCUCACCAUGGCAAUGAUACGUAGCCGACCUGAGAGGGUAAUCGGCCACAUUGGGACUGAGACACGGCCCAAACUCCUACGGGAGGCAGCAGUAGGGAAUCUUCCACAAUGGACGAAAGUCUGAUGGAGCAACGCCGCGUGAGUGAAGAAGGGUUUCGGCUCGUAAAACUCUGUUGUUAAAGAAGAACAUAUCUGAGAGUAACUGUUCAGGUAUUGACGGUAUUUAACCAGAAAGCCACGGCUAACUACGUGCCAGCAGCCGCGGUAAUACGUAGGUGGCAAGCGUUGUCCGGAUUUAUUGGGCGUAAAGCGAGCGCAGGCGGUUUUUUAAGUCUGAUGUGAAAGCCUUCGGCUCAACCGAAGAAGUGCAUCGGAAACUGGGAAACUUGAGUGCAGAAGAGGACAGUGGAACUCCAUGUGUAGCGGUGAAAUGCGUAGAUAUAUGGAAGAACACCAGUGGCGAAGGCGGCUGUCUGGUCUGUAACUGACGCUGAGGCUCGAAAGUAUGGGUAGCAAACAGGAUUAGAUACCCUGGUAGUCCAUACCGUAAACGAUGAAUGCUAAGUGUUGGAGGGUUUCCGCCCUUCAGUGCUGCAGCUAACGCAUUAAGCAUUCCGCCUGGGGAGUACGGCCGCAAGGCUGAAACUCAAAGGAAUUGACGGGGGCCCGCACAAGCGGUGGAGCAUGUGGUUUAAUUCGAAGCUACGCGAAGAACCUUACCAGGUCUUGACAUACUAUGCAAAUCUAAGAGAUUAGACGUUCCCUUCGGGGACAUGGAUACAGGUGGUGCAUGGUUGUCGUCAGCUCGUGUCGUGAGAUGUUGGGUUAAGUCCCGCAACGAGCGCAACCCUUAUUAUCAGUUGCCAGCAUUAAGUUGGGCACUCUGGUGAGACUGCCGGUGACAAACCGGAGGAAGGUGGGGAUGACGUCAAAUCAUCAUGCCCCUUAUGACCUGGGCUACACACGUGCUACAAUGGAUGGUACAACGAGUUGCGAACUCGCGAGAGUAAGCUAAUCUCUUAAAGCCAUUCUCAGUUCGGAUUGUAGGCUGCAACUCGCCUACAUGAAGUCGGAAUCGCUAGUAAUCGCGGAUCAGCAUGCCGCGGUGAAUUCGUU
rnacentral:rRNA from 1 species